rnacentral:lncRNA from 14 species
GGAAGGAUCUUCAACAGCCUAAAUUAGAAUAAAGUGAACACUGAUGUGGCUCCUCAUUGCAAACCUGCAAUGGUUUUGAACACAGAUGGAAAAAGUAAACCAGCCCAGAGUAACUCUGCAUCCACGACCCAGGAAUCAGUCCCCCUUGGAGUCCUGAGGAUAUCCAGGGCACACAGCUCUCACAAAUGUAUGCUGCUCUAUACAUGUGAAAGAUGAAACCUAUCUGCAGACUUCACCAUAAUCAGCAGCUUCCUUAUUUAUGAAGACCCAGAAGGAUGCCUGGCAUCAAGACCUUGCAAUGCAUGUCAGGGGGAGAGGAAGUUUAAUGCAGAAGGGUGAGGAAGAGGAGGCACACGGGAUCAAAGUCUUGAUUUGGAAGGAACUCCAUCUGAUGAAGAUAAAGCAGGAAUGGAGGAGUGGAUUCAGGAUCUGGAUGUCUGCAAGACACAGCCCCACCUCUCCAGACCAUCAGCACCAAAAGACAGUGCCCAGGAGCACUGAACCUAGCCCUAGAGACAAGUUCAUCCAUGACUCACUGGACCUGUGCCUUUCCUUCAUUUUAAUCUGGAUAUUACUUGCCAUACAGCCCUCUCUACUACAUAAAAUGUAAGAUACUUCAUCUUUACUUGUAUCUGUAGCCCAUUCCUCAGACAAAGGUAUCUAUUUUGAGUAUCAAAAGACUGAUUUAAGCCCUUAAUUCACUCAUUAUAUCUCCC